rnacentral:misc_RNA from 1 species
CCAAACUUGGUCAUUUAGAGGAAGUAAAAGUCGUAACAAGGUUUCCGUAGGUGAACCUGCGGAAGGAUCAUUAGCAAGAUCGACCCGAAAUAUGGACGAUCAAAUCCAUAUCCACCUUGUGUGCACCUAUUGACCGUUCGCUUUGGCAGGAGUCGUCUUCGAUUCCCCGGAAGGGGAUCUCGAAGCGCGAAGGGAGGUGUUCCCGAUAGAGAGCGCGUACCCUGGCCUGCCAGAGUUUUUUCCCCCUUUCAAAGGGAAAAAGAUCCACACUUCAUUUUGAACCUUUGGACUGAACCCUCGUCUCGAUUCUCUGUAAUCGGUCGAAUCAAAUACAACUUUCAACAACGGAUCUCUUGGCUCUCGCAUCGAUGAAGAACGCAGC